rnacentral:rRNA from 1 species
AAUAGGGCGUCAAGUCUGUCGGAUUAGACCCGAAACCGAGUGAUCUAGCCAUGUGCAGGAUGAAGGUGGGGUAACACCCACUGGAGGUCCGAACCAGUGCCCGUUGAAAAGGUCUUGGAUGACGUGUGGCUAGGGGUGAAAGGCCAAUCAAACCCGGAAAUAGCUGGUUCUCCGCGAAAUCUAUUUAGGUAGAGCGUCUCGUGAAUACCCAUGGGGGUAGAGCACUGGAUGGGCUAGGGGGUCCCAACGACUUACCAAACCUAACCAAACUCCGAAUACCAUGGAGUAAUGCGAGGCAGACACACUGCGGGUGCUAAGGUCCGUAGUGAAGAGGGAAACAGCCCUGACCGCCAGCUAAGGUCCCUAAGUUAUCACUAAGUGGGAAACGAUGUGGGAGUGCUUAGACAACCAGGAGGUUGGCUUAGAAGCAGCCAUCCUUUAAAGAAAGCGUAAUAGCUCACUAGUCGAGUCGGCCUGCGCGGAAGAUGUAACGGGGCUAAAACUAUAUGCCGAAGCUGCGGAUUUGCAAUUUAUUGCAAGUGGUAGGGGAGCGUUCUGUAAGCCGAUGAAGGUGUAUUGAGAAGUAUGCUGGAGGUAUCAGAAGUGCGAAUGCUGACAUGAGUAACGACAAAGGGGGUGAAAAACCCCCUCGCCGGAAGACCAAGGUUUCCUGCCCCAUGCUAAUCAGGGCAGGGUUAGUCGGCCCCUAAGGUGAGGCUGAAAAGCGUAAUCGAUGGGAAACGGGUUAAUAUUCCCGUACCUUGGAUAGCUGCGAUGGAGAGACGGAGAAGGCUAGGUGAGCCGGGCGACGGUUGUCCCGGUUUAAGCGAGUAGGGAGUGGACUUAGGCAAAUCCGGGUCCACAAUCUCGAGACGC